AGAACAAAAAAAUGGACGCAGGAAGAAUGUGGGUGGCGAGAAAAAAAGAGAAGGCUGCGUCAGACAUCUCCCCCCUUUCUUUUUCACUUCACGAUUAAACAUAGCAUUUUAAAAUGCCACAAUUUUUGCUGCUUUUGACAUAACAUAACAUAAAAAUUCAAACUUUAUUCCUAGAAGAUUUACAAAAUAAUCACAAAAGUCAUGCAAUUUAAACCUGCAUCAAUGUCAGGGUUCCCACUCUUUUCUAGAGAUCAUUUUCCAGGACUUUUCCAGGACAUUUUCAGUGAUGAUCUAGCUGGUAUGACAGACGGGGAUCGUGCGGUACACUGAUAUGUUCCUCUCUGUGGAAGUCUGAUUUAAAAGACAUGUAGUCUAUGGCUAUAACUUAUCUAUGACAUCAUCUCUUAAGUGCUUGAUUACAUGCUA